CGUAGGGGCGAAGCGUUGUCCGGAUUUAUUGGGCGUAAAGGGACGCGCAGGCGGUCUUUUAAGUUCAGUUGUGAAAGGUCUCGGCUCAACCGAGGAGUUGCAGCUGAAACUGGAAGGCUUGAGUGCAGGAGAGGAGAGCGGAAUUCUCGGUGUAGCGGUGGAAUGCGUAGAGAUCGGGAGGAACACCAGUGGCGAAGGCGGCUCUCUGGUCUGUAACUGACGCUGAGGCGCGAAAGCGUGGGGGAGCAAACAGGAUU
rnacentral:rRNA from 1 species